AGGAAGUUUUAAGAACAUUAGCAGCAAGGAGAAUACAAGAGAAAGAUAUCAAAAAGUUAAUUUAAAGACCAUAUGGAGUGUGAGCCACUACCCCCGGCCCCUUCCAACUUAUUUUAUUGUUCUUAUGAAAUACACUAUUAAAGAUCUUAAUAAGUGAGGUCGAACCUUGCAAAAAUUAUAAUACUCAGUUAUUCUGCCUUUAAAAAAUGGCACUACCCAACUGUUCUUGACUUAGAGAAAAAUAGUAUUUUGACAUGAUUUAAUCUCAUACAUGGUGACUCCAAGUAAAGUGAGUGUUUUGAAUUACAACCUCAAACAGAUUAUUUUAACUUGGCCUAAGUCAAGUUUAUAUUUCAGAAUUUAAAAAAUUCCCCUUUCAUAUUAAUUCUUUUUACUUUCUGGUAAUAUUACACUUUGCUAUUACCAGAAAAACCAUAUAUCAAAUUAUUUGGUGCUUCAUGGUCUCUGUGCCUAAGGCAAAUUGUCCCAUCAACAGUGCUUCUCAUAUUGGGGAAUAUAUCUAUGAAUUGGAUUGAUGGCCAGUGAUAUUUUUUGAUACAAGUAGCAUCCUGAUGAUACUGAGUUACUUCUGUAGCAUGGUAAUCUUCCCUUUUAUAGAUUUUUACUGUGGGUGCUAUUCCUAGGAAAUAAUAACAAAAAAAAAAAUCAGUUUCUGUAUUUUUAUUAAAAGUAGUUAAGUGCCUAUCAUUAAAUGAGUUACUUAUAUAUGAGGUCUGCAGUUGUUAGAAAUAGUUGUAGAAAACUUUAUACUCUUAGUGAUCUCUGUUACUUUUCACAUUUUUCUUAAAAAUAAAAUAAAUAACUGGGCUGGGUGGAGUGGCUCAUGUCUGCAACCCUACCACUUCGGGAGGCUGAGGCAAAAGGAUUGCUCCAGCUCAGGAGUUCAAGACUAGCCUGGGCAACAUAGCAAAACUUUGUUUCUGUUUAAAAAAUAAGUAAGUAGAAUAACUUUUACAGGAAUUAUUUCUUUUAUAAAGUAUCUAUGAAACAACAAUUCUAAUUGAUUCUUUUCUGUGUGUGUGUAUUUUUCUAUUUCCAGUUACAGCAACCCCAGCAAACCCUUUUAACACAGCCAGCUGUUGCACUGCCUACAAGCCUUAGCCUGUCUACUCCUCAGCCUACAGCACAAAUAACUGUAUCAUAUCCAACACCAAGGUCCAGUCAACAGCAAACCCAGCCUCAGAAGCAGCGUGUUUUCACAGGGGUGGUUACAAAACUACAUGACACAUUUGGAUUUGUGGAUGAAGAUGUAUUCUUUCAGCUUAGGUAAACUUAAUUAGGUCUUGUCACAUGGAACAUAUUUAUUUUAUAACAAAUACAUGGCUUCUUGUGUUUAUCUUAAAACACCUGUUUAGUUGUGGCAAAGAUUAUAAUUUAGCUAUAAUUUUCCUUUCUUUUCUUUUCUGAGACAGAGUCUCGCUAUUUAGCCUAGGCUGGACAUAGUCGCACAAUCUUGGUCGGCUCACUGCAGCCUCUGCCUCCUGGGUUCAAGCAAUUUUCUUGCCUCAGCCUUCAGAAUAGCUGGGAUGACUGGCGUGCACCACCGCACUGAGCUAACUUUCGUGUCUUUAGUAGAGAACAGGGGAUUUCACCGUGUCGGCCAGGCUGGUCUCAAACUCCUGACCUCAAGUGAUCUACCUGCCUUAGUCUCCCAAAGUGCUGGAAUUACAGGCUUGAGCCACUGCGCCGGUC